rnacentral:lncRNA from 1 species
UCGUGGCAUCUAAUGCUGCAAAGGAAGUUGUAUGGUUGUGAAAGUUUAUUGAUGAGCUCGGAGUGGCACCCUCUGUAGAUGGCCCUAUCUAAUUAUACUAUGAUAGGACUGGAGCCAUUGCUCAAGUCAAGGAGCUGAAGUUCCAUCAGCAUACCAAGCAUAUUCUCUGCUGCUACCAUCUUAUCUGAGAGAUCAUAGAUCGAGAUGACAUCGACCUUCAGAAG